rnacentral:lncRNA from 1 species
GCCGGUGGCUGCUUCGCGUUCGUCGGUAGGUUGCGGCGCUGUUGCUGCCCAUAUGGGCUCCCAGUGGCCGGGGCUGGCUGGGCUCCCAGGAGCCGGCCUCCCCGCCUCCUCCAACAUCGCCUGGAGAGGAGCUCCUCUGUGCUUCCUAGCCGCCUCCUCCAGCAGGCCAGCCAGAGCUGCCGCCCCUCUCUUUCAGCUUUUCUCUUCAGCUUCUUCUUCUUCUUCUUCUCUAAUCUCCCUUCUCCUUCUUCUCUCUCUAAUCUCUGCUUUCUCCAGAGAAGGGAGUUGCCACAUGGAACACAACCAGAACGCCUCGCCUUGGAGCUCGCUGCCUCCGGUAACCUCUCUGUCGGCCUCGUGCUCCUCUGCCUCGAGCGCCGCCUCCUACCCGUCGUCCAUCUCCUGGAGGUGCCUGUCAGGCAGGGGUUGAUGCUUAUCCUCGACUCUCUCUGUCAGCUCUCUCCUUCUCCAGGCCGAGGAGGAUGAAUGGGGCUAUCGCAGGUCGGCCGCUACGUCCGCGUUGACUGCGGGCGAGCGCGCACGACCGACACAUACGACCCCGCCUCUGCUCCUACUCAUUCUCUGUCACGACCGGUUUUUUAAUAAAAUAUUUAUUGAGAGACCAAUCCCUUUUACGGACCAGUAAAGAAAAAUUCCUUCUCACUGGUAGACAAUAUCUUGGUCACAGAAGAAAAAUACCAGGAGUACUAAAUAUAAUACAAGGUUGAGCGGGGACUGCUCAACAAUUUAUUACAUGCACGCCGACAAAACAUAACGGCGGAUAGGGUGGCAAGACUACUAACUCACGAUAACAACGGUGGUGGAAAUAUCACCGCGAAGUGGGUGAUAUGGCUCCUGAAAACUACAGCUCUUCGAGCGUCGGAGUGAGGCUCGAGGAGACUUAUUGCGGGUGGCGGAAGCGAAUAUAAUACAAGUGACCAAUAUCCGGGAUCGCACAGGACUGACUGGGACUCCUCUAGGCGUCGGACGCACUAUCAAACUCUUCAUCCAAGAGAUCGCCUUCGUCAACAUCUGGCCAAAUCAACAAGCCAGGUGAGUACUAUGAAAGUACUCGCAAGACAGUUCGGACAUAAGAUAUAACAAAUGUAAACAUGAAGCAUAUGAACAGAUUAACAAGUGCGUUCAGACAUAGAGAAAAUAAUGCUCGGUUUUUAAGAAGUCGGAACGUUUUUUUAGAAUUUGGAGCAUUUUUAAAAGCGUUAAUUUUUUAAAGGAAAAAGAUUUGAAACACUCCUUAUCUUAAAUAAAAGAACAUGCUCGGUGUGCAAUUAAAAAAGGAUUGUUGGUGUCCAUACCAUGUAGUAUAAAGUUGAGAAAGUCUUGGGAUGCCCUUUGAUGGCGGUCUUUCAGCUUAGCACUAUCAUCGGAUGGAAGAGGAAUGGUGUAAUUGUUUUUAGCAAGAUAUGCAAACGGUGGAAUUGUUGUAUACUAUUCGAGAGUUUAAUAACUAAUCCAAAAAAAAUUCAUAGAAUUUUCAAAAGACUUGCAAAGUAAUUAUUUUGCAUUAAGGUGUAGUGAUGCAUUGAAGUGGGAUUAUUUAUAUACAAUUUUUCUGUUAUAUUCGAAAGCAAACAUAUUUUACUAUGUUAAUUAUUUUUUAGAAAAUGUUGAUUAUUUGAUUUGCAAGAUUAUAUUUCGUUCUUUUCUUUUGCACUAUUCGAACUUGGCGAUCGUCUUCAUAAGAAAAGGCGAGCUUUUCUCUAUUCCCCAUCACACGUAAAUUUUGGAUGGACUGUUUUUAAAAAAAAGGUAAAUUUCAAGAUGCACCGUUGUAACAUUCUCUCUACUCUUCAUCCCCCUCUCUCUCCUCCCUAUUUCACCAACGACGUCAGUGACAUCCAGAGUUGAGGAAUACCUUAAUUGUCAGCAAGUCCCGAUGAGCUCCAAAUACUUGAGAAACAUUUAUUUCCGGUAUUUCACUCAUUUUAAAUUAUUGUAUCUGAUAAUGUAUUCAUAAGAUGCGGAAGGCAUGAAUGACAGUAACAACAAACAACUGCACUUGCAAGUAAUUAUAUCGAUGCUCAUUUAGAAGGAAAAUUUUGCAACCGAAGCUAGCACGCAUAGUUCCUGUGGCUUCUGGUCGGUUCAGCCAUUAAAGAAGGCAUCAAAAAUCCCCACCGAGCAGCUUCUAUGUGGACCUUAUCCACAUCGUCGUUCCUCUCUAGCAGCGCUGCUUCUCCUUCCUUCUCUCUAUCCAUCCAUCAGCGGCUCUGCUCUCCUUCCCCUCUCUCUAUCCGUGCUGCAGCCACAUACACACACACACGCCCACAGCACUGCUUCCCCCUCUCUCUUCUUCCUCCACAAGGAACCAAGCAUCACUCUUUGCUUGACCGUGGCGCCAGAAUCGAGCUCGGAUGCGCGCGGUAAGCUCCUACCUCCCCGCCCCUGAUCCCCUCUUCCUUUGGUGUUCGUUCCAUUGACCCCAUCUCUCUCUUUCGAUUUCCCAGGCUGUCUCGCCGGUGGCUGCUUCGCGUUCGUCGGUAGGUUGCGGCGCUGUUGCUGCCCAUAUGGGCUCCCAGUGGCCGGGGCUGGCUGGGCUCCCAGGAGCCGGCCUCCCCGCCUCCUCCAACAUCACCUGGAGAGGAGCUCCUCUGUGCUUCCUAGCCGCCUCCUCCAGCAGGCCAGCCAGAGCUGCCGCCCCUCUCUUUCAGCUUUUCUCUUCAGCUUCUUCUUCUUCUUCUUCUCUAAUCUCCCUUCUCCUUCUUCUCUCUCUAAUCUCUGCUUUCUCCAGAGAAGGGAGUCUCCACAUGGAACAGAACCAGAACGCCUCGCCUUGGAGCUCGCUGCCUCCGGUAACCUCUCUGUCGGCCUCGUGCUCCUCUGCCUCGAGCGCCGCCUCCUACCCGUCGUCCAUCUCCUGGAGGUGCCUGUCAGGCAGGGGUUGAUGCUUAUCCUCGACUCUCUCUGUCAGCUCUCUCCUUCUCCAGGCCGAGGAGGAUGAAUGGGGCUAUCACAGGUCGGCCGCUACGUCCGCGUUGACUGCGGGCGAGCGCGCAUGACCGACACAUACGACCCCGCCUCUGCUCCUACUCAUUCUCUGUCACGACCAGUUUUUUAAUAAAAUAUUCAUUGAGAGACCAAUCCCUUUUACGGACCAGUAAAGAAGAAUUCCUUCUCACUGGUAGACAAUAUCUUGGUCACAGAAGAAAAAUACCAGGAGUACUGAAUAUAAUACAAGGUUGAGCGGGGA